rnacentral:rRNA from 1 species
GACCAGCGGAGGGAUCAUUACAGAGUUUCUAACUCACAACCCAUCGUGAACAUACCUUUGUUGCUUCGGCGCGCUUCACGGCCGCCGAAGACCCUAAACUCUUGUUUUUACAUGUGUUACUCUGAGUAAAUCUUGAAAUAAAUCAAAACCUUCAACAACGGAUCUCUUGGCUCUGGCAUCGAUGAAGAACGCAGCGAAAUGCGAAAAGUAAUGUGAAUUGCAGAAUUCAGUGAAUCAUCGAAUCUUUGAACGCACAUUGCGCCCGCUGGUACUCCGGCGGGCACGCCUGUCCGAGCGUCAUUUCAACCCUCAAGCCCUCCUUCGGGACGGGCCUGGUGUUGGGGCUCGGCCGCCAUCUCCGGCGGCCGUCCCCUAAAUACAGUGGCGGUCACGUCGCGACUCCUUUGCGUAGUAGAAACACCUCGCUCCGGAUAGCAACGCGGUCCACGCCGUAAAACCCCCAAUUUUUAAUGGUUGACCUCGGAUCAGGUGGGAAUACCCGCUGAACUUAAGCAUAUCAAUAAGCGGAGGA